AUGGUACCUGCUCAGGUGAGAUACACCUGCUCAGGUGAGACGGGGACCUGUACAGGUGAGAUGGGGUACCUGCUCAGGUGAGCUCAGGUGAGAUACAUCUGCUCAGGUGAGACAGGGUACCUGCCCAGGUGAGCUCAGGUGAGAUGCACUUGCUCAGGUGAGACGGGGACCUGUACAGGUGAGAUGGGGUACCUGCGCAGGUGAGCCAUGGUACCUGCUCAGGUGAGAUAAGCCUGCUCAGGUGAGGUGGGGUACCUGCUCAG
rnacentral:lncRNA from 12 species